GACGAACGCUGGCGGCGUGCUUAACACAUGCAAGUCGAACGGAAAGGCCCUGCUUUUGUGGGGUGCUCGAGUGGCGAACGGGUGAGUAUAACGUGAGUAACCUGCCCUUGACUUUGGGAUAACUUCAGGAAACUGGGGCUAAUACCGGAUAGAAGCUCCUGCUGCAUGGUGGGGGUUGGAGAGAUUCGCCGGUUGGGGAUGUAGGCGCGGCUUAUCAGCUUGUUGGUGGGGUAGUGGCUUACAAAGGCUUUGACGGGUAGCCGGCCUGCGAGGGUGAGCGGGCACAGAGGGCCUGGGGUACGGCCCAGAGUCCUACGGGGGGCAGGGGUGGGGACUAUAGCGCAAUAGGCGGAAGGCUGAUGCAGCGACGCCGGGUGCGGGAGGACGGUUUUCGGGUUGUAAAGCGCGUUCGCGUGUGACGAAGCGUGAGUGACGGUAAUGUGUAAAGAAGCACCGGCUAACUACGUG
rnacentral:rRNA from 1 species